rnacentral:RNase_P_RNA from 1 species
CCAGAGGGCUGGAUGACCGCUGGGGUGUUGAGCCCUGGAGGAAAGUCCGGGCUCCACUGAAAGCAUGGCGCCGGGUAACGCCCGGCGGGGGCGACCCCAGGGACAGCGCCACAGAAAUCAAACCGCCCGCCUACGCGCUCGCGCGCUUCGGAGGGUAAGGGUGAAAUGGUGCGGUAAGAGCGCACCGCGCUUGCGGUAACGCAGGCGGCACGGCAAGCCCCGCCAGGAGCAAGGCCAAAUAGGGACGGCAGAUGGGCUGCUUCAGGCUCGUCGUCCGGGUCGGCUGCGCGAGGCGCCCGGUGACGGGCGUCCCAGAGGAAUGGUCAUCCAUUCCCGGCAACGGGAGGGACAGAACCCGGCUUACAGGCCCUCUGGCUCA